CGCCUCCUGCAACACAACCAAGUAUAAGAGGUCCAGCCUGCCCAGUGACCACAAGUUUAACGGCCGCGGUAUUUUGACCGUGCAAAGGUAGCGCAAUCACUUGUCUUUUAAAUAAAGACCUGUAUGAACGGCUAAACGAGGGCUUAACUGUCUCCCAUUUCAAGUCAGUGAAAUUGAUCUGCCCGUGCAGAAGCGGACAUAAUAAUACAAGACGAGAAGACCCUAUGGAGCUUAAGACACAAUACCCAAUCACACAAAACAACUCUAUAAAAAGUCACCAAACCUUGUGAUAACUGGGGCAGUGCCUUCGGUUGGGGCGACCGCGGAGGAGAAAAAAGCCUCCAAGUGGAAUGGGGUAGUCCCUAAAACUAAGAAAUACACUUCUAAGCUUCAGAACAUCUGACCAUAAAUGAUCCGGCCGAGCAAGGCCGAUCAACGAACCAAGUUACCCUAGGGAUAACAGCGCAAUCCCCUCCAAGAGUUCAUAUCGACGAGGGGGUUUACGACCUCGAUGUUGGAUCAGGACAUCCUAAUGGUGCAGCCGCUAUUAAGGGUUCGUUUGUUCAACGAUUAAAGUCCUACGUGAUCUGAGUU
rnacentral:rRNA from 1 species